CUCGGGCUAGGACGGCGGCGGCAACCACGAGCGCCGCCUGGGAGACCUGGCAGAGAUUAACCGGGAAAAUGUGAGCUUGGAUCUCACCUUGUAAUUCUCCAUGAGAAUUGAGAAAUGCGUGAAUUAGCGUUCUUGCUUUCUUGCAGCCGUCAAACGAUCCUCGCGCCGCCGCCGCCGCCGACGCGUUGACGAGGCGGGGUCUCAGCUGGCGGUGCCCCCGAGGCCGAUGCCGCCGCCUACCCCUCUCACCGCACCACCUUCCUCUUCACGCGCCGGCUCGCGCUAAGGCUGCUGCCGUUCGUCGCUGUUUCCCGCGGCGGAGGUUGGUGGAGGUCGUCGCUGUUUCAAGCUCAUCCUCCCUCUCUCCUGGCGGCGGAGCAGCAGUGCACGUGGCGGCAGCCAACAGCUUGAGCGCGCAUGAGGAGCUAGCUAGCUACUCGCCAUGGCGGUAGCCAACCAAGAGGCCAUGGCGCCGAGGACCGGCAACAUCGCCACCGCCAACCCCGGCUGCCCCAACUGGUACGCCGUCCUCGUCAUCGACCAGCCCUCCAGUACGGCCGCCGUCGCGGCGCCGCCCUCCUCUCCCGCCUCACCCCGGCGGCCUCCUCCCCAGCUACAUCUUCCUCUCCUCUCUGUGUUGGUGCAGGGAAGGAGCCAAGGAGGUAGAAGAUACCCCUAACAAGUGGGCCCCAUCUGAGGAAGGGAGAGAAAAGGUAAAAGAUAGAUGACGUGGCAUGCUGACACGUGGGAUCCACGCUGACUCAGCCGCCACGUAGACCAAAACCGGGGUAAAAACCACCGAAGUAUCUCGAGUGACCGGUUUUGUAUAGUUGAGAGAUCUUAAAUAUCUGGUUUUAUGGUUCAAGGACGUUUUUUAUCCCGAUGAUAAGUGUACUUUUUCCUAAGCCACUGUCAAGUGUCAACUCUUGGCUCUCAAGCCUCACUUAGCUAGUACUCCCGCCAUCUCAUUUAUUUAACGACGGUUAGUUCAAUUUAAAUAGGAAGUAAUAAUUAAUUACUCCUUCA